rnacentral:rRNA from 1 species
UACGGAAGGGGCAAGCGUUGUUCGGAAUUAUUGGGCGUAAAGGGCGUGUAGGCGGCUUCGCAGGUCUGUGGUGAAAGCAUACAGCUCAACUGUAUUGAGCCGUGGAAACGGCGGAGCUUGAGGCUGGGAGGGGCUGGUGGAAUUCCCUGUGUAGCGGUGAAAUGCGUAGAUAUUGGGAAGAACACCGGUGGCGAAGGCGGCCAUCUGGACCGGUACUGACGCUGAGGCGCGAAAGCUAGGGGAGCGAAUGGG